GGUGAGAUGUCCGAGUGGUUGAAGGAGCACGCCUGGAAAGCGUGUAUAUGGGAGACUGUAUCGGGGGUUCGAAUCCCCCUCUCACCG
rnacentral:tRNA from 1 species